rnacentral:snoRNA from 1 species
CCCUGUAUUCGAAAGUGAUCAUGGGCUGCCUGUGCUGUGGUCAUUGGUAGAGCAGGGAGAGGAACUGUGGAAAGUGUAUCCCUGUGUUUGGAGGGUCUGCUUCUGUCCUUGCCAAACUCUGGAGCUUUCCCACA